UAUCGAGUUUGACUGUGAUAUUUUUAGUCAAAUUUUAGGUAUUCCAUCAGAUGGUGAUAGAUAUUUUAAUAUCACUUGUUAGAGUCAUAAUAGAUUAGGUUACUGUAGUUGUAUUAGAACUAUUUUUGAGGACGAUAGUUUGGGGCAAACAAAUAAACCUAGUGCACAUCUAUUACCACUGAAAAAUAGAUUAAUUCAUCAUAUAUUAACAUCCAAUUUUCUGCCUAG
rnacentral:lncRNA from 1 species